GAUGAACGCUGGCGGCGUGCCUAACACAUGCAAGUCGAACGGACGGACGAGUAGCUUGUUGGUGGGAUGUGAGGGGCGGCGGGGGGAGUAACACGAGGAGAAUAUCCUUAUCAGACUGGGAUAAUAUCGGGAAACCGGAGCUGCUACCGGAGGAUAUUUUGAACCGCAUGGAUGAUGGGUAAGGGACGGUUUUGGUGUCGGUUGUGGAUGGACCCGCGCUGUAUUAGCUAGUUGGUGGGGUAACGGCUUACCAAGGCAACGAUGCAUAGCCGACCGGCGAGGGGGGUCGGCCGCACUGGAACGGAUACGCGGGCCAGACGCCUACGGGAGGCAGCAGUAGGGAAGCUUCCGCAAUGGGCGAAAGCCUGACGGAGCAACGCCGCGUGAGUGAGGAAGGUCUCCGGAUCGUAAAACUCUGUUAUUAGGGAAGAACAAAUGUGUAAGUAACUGUGCACAUCUUGACGGUACCUAAUCAGAAAGCCACGGCUAACUACGUG
rnacentral:rRNA from 1 species